rnacentral:lncRNA from 1 species
AUAUAUAUACACAUGUAUAUAUAUAUAUACACAUACAUAUAUGUACAUAUAUAUAUAUAUAUAUAUAUAUAUAUAUAUAUAUAUAUAUAUAUACAUACAUAUAUAUAUACAUGAUUAUAUAUCAUAUAUAUAUGCACAUACAUAUAUAUGUGAAUAAAUACACACACACACAUACAUAUAUAUAUAUAUAUAUAUAUAUAUAUAUAUAUGCAAUGUAUGAUAAAAUCUGAUUUUAGGAGUAACAUUGCACUACUCAGAGCAAUCAGAAUUUUAAAUUCCAAAUACUUCAUUCUGUUGAGCUGGACUAGAGUUAGAAUUUUGAGUAGAGCAAAUGAAUUUGUGAAGACACAGAAAUACAAAGUUAGUUAAUAAUCAACAGCAAGCAUAUAAAAUGUAUUUCUACGAAAAUUUGCUAAGACAAUAUACAUACUUUACAGCUGUUUCGAAUGAGCAAUCCUAUAUAAGAAUUCUUAUUACAGUUUGAAAUUUCUAAAAUAGAUAGAGAAGAAACUUAUCCAGCCUCUGACUUUUUCAUUUUAAGGGACUUUUUUUAUCACAAUAUUUACAUGCUAUUAUUUAUAGGUUUAUGCAGUUCAAGAGUCCCUGUUCUAAAAAAAGAAUUAUUUUGUGGUCUUUGAAAUGUUUCUAAAUUCUUAUCAUCUCCAAAAAUAAUAUAUAUGUGUAUGUGUGUGUGUGUGAGUGUGUGUGUGUGUGUGUGUGUGAGUGUGUGUGUGAGUGUGUGUGUGUGUGUGUGUGUGUGUGUGUGUGUGUUCAUAUCAAACAAUGAGAAUGAAUGAUCACCACUGCAUUGGUGGAGGAAAAAAUUUUAUUUGUGACUUAAGGCUACCUUUGACUUCAUGUUAAGGCAGAAAUUCCUUACUAUCUUCCAUGUGGCAGAUUUGAUAAUUGUUAAGUGAUUUCUCUCAUAACAUGAAACCAAUGGUAGCCUUAACCCUUAAAUAAAGUAUACACACACACACAUAUAUAUAUGCAUACAUAUAUAUAUAUAUAUAUAUAUAUAUAUAUAUAAGACAAUCUCUCGGGAUACAUUCAAGUAUUUGCACUCCCUUGGAUUGGUUUCUGGACUGGCAUGAUAGCCUAAUCUUCCUCUGCACAUGUUACCAUCAUAGAGAGCCCUAACCCAUUGUGGUAAAGUCUGCGAAGUAUAUAUAUAUAUAUAUAUAUAUAUAUAUAUAUAUAUAUAUAUAUAUAUAUAAUGAUAAUAAUAUAGAUAUGUAAAUAUAUAUAUAUAUACAUACAUAUAUAAACAUAUACAUAUGUAUAUAUAUACAUAUAUAAACAUAUACAUAUGUAUAUAUAUAUAUAUACAUUUACAUAUAUACACCUAUAUAUUCACACACAAAACACUGCCAUGUACUGAGCAUUGAUACUGAAAACAUUUUUGUUUUUGAUUUUGUAAAUAUAAAAUGAAAAAUUUAUGGCAAUAAACAAUUGAAAUUCUAAAUCUCUCACUGACAGGUACCGGAUUUCUGAAUUGAAAAUCAAAAUGGGCAAAACCCAACACUACCACCACCUGUAACAGCUCCAUAAUUCCCAGCAGCAAUGUACCAAUAAAUAAAUAAUGAAAUAAAACUAUGUAUUAUUUACAUAUGA